ACUCGAAAAAACAUACCUACUUUUUUCAAUUUCCCAUUCAAAAAUUAAGAAUUCGUCGAGUUUAUAAUCAAUUCAGGUACCUAUCUACAUUGUGAGAUCCCAAGGAGAAUUUCAACCCAUGAAGUUGGCAAAAAAUAAAUAAGUACCCACCCUUCUUUCUUCACAAUGUUAAAAAUAACAAUUUUAUUUUUGAUGUUCACAAUAACUUGGACAAACGCGAAGAGGACGAUGAAACCUUUCCUGCUCCAUAAGUUCAUUCCAAAGAUAUGCAAAAUUGACGACUGCCACAAACAAUGUUCGGAAAAAUUGGAUAAAAAUCUCCCAGACAAGGAAGUAAUAGGCAUAUGUAAUGGUAAAUACAAAUGUAAGUGUUACGAAUACGAUAAUACGAUACGUCGCAUCUUCCCUUUAAAAGAUAAUGGAGAGCGUGAUCAUCUUUUUGCGAUGCCUGGAUAGCGCAAAGAGAGGUUUUCAUCAAAGCAAUUAUACAAAUGUAAUUUCCAUUCGCCUUUCAUAGACGCAAUUGUAAAAAGAUAUACGUUAGGUAUCACCUAGGUAUAUAAAUAAUAUAUAUUUUUCUGAAUUUUCUGUAUAGAUGGAAGAUCUUUAAAAAUAUGAAAAACUGAUUUUUCUUACGAUUUUUCUCACUCAAAUUGAUCAAUUUUGAUCGAAAUUUUUUUAACCACACUGUAAAGUAAAAACCUCACGAUCUUUUUCAUUUUCAAGUCCAUACAUGUCUUAGAAAGGAAUUUGGUGUAGUUAUUUUUUGGACCAAGAAGGUUCACUGCCUUCCCUUUCGAGGAGAUAAUUUUUAUUCGUAUAGUACCUGAUUAAUGAAGAUUUUAGUAAAUUAAUAGUUCAUUAAAAAUUGAACCCAUGCAGAUAAAAAACAGAUAUCAGAAACAUUUCAAAAAUUAAAUAACUACUUACGCACAAUCAAUCAGUUCAUUUGCAUUGUAACAUUCUGUGGAAAAUUUCAAUGAAUGGCAAUCAUAUCAAAAAAUAAAUGAAGAUGUAAACUUUCACCCAUACCUGAUUUCCCCCCCACUACCUACAAUGUUGACAGUAGCUGUAAUGCUUUUAAUGAUCAGCAUAACUUGCAUAAACGCAAACCUCGACGGAAAGGGAUUAUGCAAAGAGGACGUCUGCCAAAAAGAAUGCGAGGAUGUAUAUGAUUUAAAUUUCGCAGGCCACAUAGCAGGCGUAUGUGCUACUCCGUGGACUUGUAAAUGUUUCGAAUAUAAGGACGAGGUACAAGGAUACGAACCUAUCAAAAAGUAUCAACAUGACAUUACUGUUGCCGAUAAAAUUGAUAAGGUAGUUAAUUAAGAAACUUAAGUACAUAUUUAUAAUAGGUAUAGAAUCAAAAGCUGUGAGAAUAAGUAAUUCUACGAGUAUUUUAUAAAAUGUUUGAGAUGAAUAAAUUUUAAAAAAAAAAUUACAUAGGUAAUUAUAGUUAAUCCUCUUAAUGCUGAAUGUCUCUUCAAUAGAAAAAAUUAUCAAGUCGUGAAGAAGCAAGUUAUCAAUGAUGAAAAAUUGAAAAAAGUUAAAUUCUCAAGCUAUUGACAGUGAUAAAAUCAACACAUGGGUUCAGAGUGAUUAAAAGUCCCUCGAAUAUUCACCCUGACAACAUAAUUUCCACGUCUGGGGCAGAGUUACCUGCGAUUUGAAAUAAUAAAAUAGCCAAAAAUAACCCCUGCAACUCAGUAAAACUUUUUCAAGGAGUCAAUUGUUCUUAAACAUAAAUUUUAGGUAGGUACCUACUUUUUCCUCAAGAGAAUUUGAUACACUGACGAACGAAAAAAAUAUUGUUAAAAGCACCCUCAUCCUUUCAGAAAACCAAGAAUUACACGUACAAAUAAUGAUUAGUCUGUGAUAAGAUAUUGAAUUAUUGAUACAGGAAACAUUUCAGAAAUUUGAUAUCAAAAUACUCGUGAUAAGUAACGCUGAUAUUUAAAUUUUUGAUACAUUAAAUAUUCCGAAAAUACACACGUACUUAUUCGUUUCAAUUUACCAUUUCAAUAAAUUCAGAGUUCCCCAUACAAAUUAUCAGUUCAUUUACACUGCGCAUUCUGCGGGAAGUUUGAAUGGAUCGAAAUUGGCAAAAAAUAAAUAAAGUGAAAUUUCACGAGUGAGUAGGUACACCUACCUAUUUUCUAAUACCUCACGAAUUCAUCAUUUCGUUCUCAAGCACCACAUUUCUGGGGCAAAAAUGCUUAGUUAUUUUCUUCUAAACCAACAUUGCGAUGCUGAAAACAACUGUAUUCUGUUUAAUAUUCACGAUAACUUGGACUAACGCGAAGGUCUUUAUAAAGAAACGAUGCGAUUAUGAGAAAUGCGACCAAGAAUGCAUGGAUAAGUUCGACCACAUCAACACCUCAUGCAAGCAAGUAUUAGGUGCAUGCUCUGACUUUAAAAAAUGUAAAUGUUACGAAUAUGAUUGUAAGACACGUAAGGUAAUGCCUUUAAAAGAUAGUGAAGAUGUAGACGAAGGGCCUGCCAUGCCUGUCCCACACUCACUUUUAGAACAAAGUGAAGAGUAUUAUGAUGAUAAUGAUGACGGUUACUGAGGAUAACCAAUAAGUUAAAUUGUAAAUUAUAACACGUCGUAAGAACCUACUUAUUUAUACACAAUAUACAGAGACAGACAGAUAGAAUCAAAGGUUUUGGAAUGAAUUCGGACAAUAGGUACCUAUAAAUUACCUGUACUUAGAUUUAGCACAAAAGAUUUUGUCGAUCAAGAAGCUUCAUUCCUUCGAGUGUAGAAUUUUAAUGGUACAUAUAGGUAUAGAUUUAUAGGAAACAUUCCAAAAAUAAAAUAUCCACUUGCGUAUCAAGAGAUUCGUGAUAAAAUACUGAUAUCUAAAUUUUUGAUAAGUAAAUAAUUUCAAAAAUACGCACCUAUUUUUUUUCAAUUUCUCAUUUUCAAAAUUGAAGAGUUCCUCUACAAUUUAUCAAUUCAUUUACAAUCCAACGAGCUGAAGAAUCGAUCGGAAUUAGCAAAAAAAUUAACGAGAAGGUAAAAUUUCAUUCGUGAGUAUUCUACAAUAGGUACCUUUCGAAUAUAAGUAUUAUUUUCGUUCUCAAAUAGGUACGUACCGCACCUUUCUUGGGAAAAAGUACCUAAAAGCUGAUUCCUUUCCGCGCACAUUGAUUUUUUUUCUAAGCAAGUUUUUCGAGUGAUGGAAUUUCGAUUAUUUUAGAUAUUCGCUUAUUUUUCCUUAAACAAACGUCGCAAUGCUGAAAAUAAUUGUAAUGCUUUUAAUAUUCACGAUUACUUGGACAAACGCAUGGUUCUUCGGAAAAAAAGAAAAGAUGAAAUGCGAAGUUGAUGAAUGCCACCAACGAUGCACGUCUCAUUUUUAUGUAAUUAUCAAAGGAAAGGAAGUACGGGGAAUAUGUUUAGAAAACGGUUACUGCGAAUGUUACGAAUACGAUGAAAAGGCACAUCGUUACUAUCCUAGGAAAAAAAAGUUGUGGUAAGAUUAUCAUAAUUUGAGUACCCACUACCUAGGACCUACCUACUGAUUAGCCAAAAAGUUCAACUAAUGUAAGAAGGUAACAUCAUAAGUACAUUUCAAAGAUAGGAACAUUAGGUAUUACAUAUAAUCAAAAUCUAUAAAAAUAAUAUUCUAUUUUUAUAAACGUUUGAGAAAAAUGCACUUUUUCGUAAAAUUACAUUAUCUAAGUACUCAA